GUGCCUCAGUCUGUUUGAAGACAUAGACGUGGAGAUAUUUGCAAAGGACACAUUUUCGAACUCUUAUGAAUACCCAACUCUAUGAGGAAUGUGAAACUUAGAGAUGAAGUAGCCUCAGUAAUUGAUAGACAUGGGAAUCAAAGCCAGAUCUGGCUGGACCAUUGACCUCUAGAGCUAUGCUAUCUCUCACCUGGAACUCCUUGAAACAGUCACUCUGCUUUUCAACUUUCCUGUAUCCAGAAGGAAAACCACAACCACCACAUCACAUAGCCAGGAUUCCAUGGGUGUUUGAAAUCUCAAGUUGGCACAAAAACUUCAGAAUACCUGAAUGAGGACUGCCAUGCCAGGUAAUAGGAAGAAAGAGACUCCGAACCACUCAUGUGGGGCCCAGAGACUCAGUUUCCUGUCCUGCUGCUGCUAUGGCUGACCAGAGAAUUCCUUAUCCAUCAGAACAUCUGUUUCAUCCUCAGUAAAACCACCAAAGUGGACAUGAAGCUUUCUCAGCACCUUGCCAGCUUUAACACACUGCCACUCAGUUCUCCGUAAGGAUGGGGAGCAGGCUCUAGGUCUAGCCCAGACUACCAGUGCCUGUGCAGGCCAGAAUGGGAGAACCCGAAUGCCGUGAGUUAUCACAGUGGGGCUGUCUUUGUCCCGAUUGUUCAGCCUAAUUGCUGACCAGAUGACUUCCCAGUGACAGAACAGGCUGUUCGAUGUGUCACCUGCCGAGGAGUGGACUUUAUUUUUUAUAUCAAACCCCUCUUCAAAUACUGAAUACACCAGAGAAACAACAAGCUAGAAUUGGAAAAAUACUUUUCUUCUGAUAUCGUAACUGCAUAUAACCUCAAUACAAUUUUGUCUUCUUGAGGAGGCCAUAUAUAUUCCUGCUCCAACCAAUAUGAUUAAAAUGCUGUUUCCUCUGUUCUCAGUGAAACAAGAUUUUUAAAAUUCAAAUUCAAGUGUAUUCAAAGUCUUCCUAUAAAAGCAAUUUCUUUAAAACAUUUUAUCGCAACAGUAUUGUAAAAUUAGCCAAAUCCACUAAAUACAUGGAAAAGGGGGGACAACAGGAAUUUGAAUGACUUUUUGAGGAACUAACAAAGGAUUCCUAUCUCUCAAAGAGUAUCCAGUUGAACAAGUCUUCAUCUCUAGCCUGCGAUUUUUUUCUUUUAUUUAUAUUUAAAACACUUGAGUUCAAAUAAAGAAAAGUUUAUGAUAAAGUCAGUAUAUUCUUCUGUUGUGUGACAUCCAUUUCCCAGAUUUGUAUGAGCAUUUUGACACAAAAUCAGAAAAAUGUGUUCCUUACAUUACCAUCCCCUCAGAUUUGGGUUUUGCUGCUUUGAAUGUCAACUACAGCAGAAGUUUUUCUAUGUAAAACACACUUUAUCCUUUCCAGGGCAUACUAAGUUAACUUAACAUAUUGAAUGUUAAAUUAAACAUUCUACAUACUAUCAUAAAAGAUAACCAAAUGAAACUGUUACAUAAAUAAAAGCAAGUUGUCCCCAGAUAUUUAUAUUUUUAUAUAAUGUGUGUGUUGGUAUGGGUAUUUAUUUAAAAAAGAAAAAACUGGAAGGACACGGAAGUUUUAUCAGUAGUUACCUCAAGGGUGAGGAAGGUGGUAGGAUGUGGAGAUGAGGGUAAAAGGAGAUUUCUCUUUAAAUUCCUUUGCAUUAUAUAUUGAGGGAUGUAGGGAAAAUGGAAGUUGCUGUGGCCGGGAUCCUCACCUGACCCUGAUAUACUCACGCACUGUGCACAUGCAAUACUCACAGGCACACGCUUGCACACAUACUGACAGGGAGGUAUUAUUGACUCUACAUAAAGAGCUCUGCCCAGUGCUCUGGUGCUGCGAGUCAUCAGAGAGGCCUGGAGGCAGAGACCAGCUUGCUGCAUGCAGACUGCCCCAGAGGCAGAUAGGAUUCUAGCAUUUGAUCUGCCACCACAAGAAUAAAAUUGGGUGUAAAUCCUUUUACCCUCAACAUUGUCAUUUUUCAGUCUCACUGAAUCCAGAGUGAAAUUGCCCAGGGCUGAAACCCUCAGGCAAGACAUUUGGUGAAGCUGGCAGGAUUCACUAUGGACCAAAAAAUGGCACAAGCUGCCCUCAUUGGGAGGGGUGCUUCAGCAGACUGCCCUUAUUUGGCUGGAGAAAUACUGCAGGAAUCCCUUACGGAUGAGGAGGAAUUUAGGUAUCCCCAAGUGGACCUGUGGGCCAAGGUGGUUUUAUUCCUAAAGGGGUGGGCCCCUCCCUGGGACUUGGGGGAGGUGGAGGUGAUGCCUGGAGCAGUGAUAGGGACCCUCCAUGAGAUUGGGAGAUCCUUAGAGAAACAAUAAGCCCACAAGGUGGCAGGAGCCAUGGGUUGGCUAUCCUCACAGUAUUAAAAAAGACCAUGGUGGGGAAGGAUGAGCUCCUGUGCCUCCAGUAGCACUAUAUAUGGACCCCUCAGUAACCCCCAUGGGAAGAGGGGUAAAGGUAUGGUACACUAGACCCAGAUGGGACACCCUUCCUGCCACAGUCCUAUCACAGGACCACAUACUUGCAUGUAUCCUACCUGAUGGACAAGACUUGCCUAUGUUGGUGUCAUUAAAACAUGUGUUAUCACCCUUACAGUUACAGUGUGAAUUGGGCAGGCACCCUAGCAAGAACUGCUGCUUGCUGGGUGAGCACAGAAAGUGUGAGUCAUGAACUUAUCUGAGUAGAACUGGUGUGAAUAUGGCUGGUAUGACCAGUUGGUGGCAACUGAUCUCCUCAGGUUUGAGGAUUAUUAUAUUUUUGUUAUUGUUGUCUGCAUCAUAAUUUUGUUGUUUGCGUAUUGUUGUAUCCUCUGUUGCUAUUGUGGAAUCUUGUUACAAUGCUCCAGGUUUUUUGCACAGGGUCCAUCAUGGAAGGUUGAGGGUGCAUAGAUCGUGAGGCAAGAAUCCUGGAGGUGUGGAGUGUGGGGAAAAAUGGAAGUUCCUAUGGCCAGGAUCUUCAUCUGACCCGGAUAUAUUUGCCCACUGUGCACAUGCAAUGCUUGCAAGCACCUGCUUGCACACAUGUUGGCAGUGGGCUAUCACUGACCCUAUAUAAAGAGCUCUACCCAGUGCUCUGGGGCUACAAGGUAGCAGAGAGGCCCAGAGACAGAGACUGGCUUGCUGUAUGCCGACGUCUCUGGAGAAGGACAGGAUUCUAGUGCUUGACCUUCCACCUCGAGAAUAAAGCUGGGUAUAAACCCCUUUACUCACAACAUUCCAUUGCCGUUUUUCAGUCUCAUCAAAUCCUGAGUGAACUUGCCCAGUGCUGAAACCCUCAGGCGAGACAGAGGAUAACUAAUAAAUAGUCUUCAAUGUGUCAGGGGCAUGAAAGAUAAGACCAAAGUACUGUUACAGGUCAAGGAAGACUAAAGAGAAAUGACAACUAAAUGUAACAUGGUAUCCUAGAUUGGAUCCUGGAACAGAAAAAAGACAGUAUUAAAAAAAAUGAAAUCCAAAUAAAGGCUGUAGUUUAAUUAAUAGUAUUUGAGUAGUGUUAAUUUCUUCAUUUUGAUUAAGUGUACCACCAUUACAUAAGAUGCUUGAAGCCAGCUGAAGGGUAUAGGAGAGUACUCUGCAACUCUUCUAUAAACUUGCUUCAAAAUGAAAGCUUUUAUAAAAAAGGAAAAGGGGGGAGCUUGUAAAAAACACACAUUCGUAUAUCCCAACUCCCAGGCAUGAGAUUCUGCAUGUUAAAUAUGCUUCCCAGGUGAU